rnacentral:antisense_RNA from 1 species
CAGAUUUGGUUUCGAUGUUCCCCCGAACUCGUUACCACGGAAGUCUAAGGACGCCAAUCCUAAACUUCCUCUGAAUAAGCCGCCCCGCAAAGGCGGCUUUUUCUU